AACGGAGGGGGCAAGCGUUGUCCGGAGUUACUGGGCGUAAAGGGUGCGUAGGUGGCCAAUUAAGUCAAGUGUGAAAUUCCACGGCUCAACUGUGGGAGAGCGCUUGAAACUGGAUGGCUUGAGGUCAGGUCAGGAAGAUGGAAUUGUCAGUGUAGGGGUGAAAUCCGUAGAUAUUGGCAAGAACGCCAGUGGUGAAGACGGUAUUCGGGACUGAUAUUGACACUGAGGCGCGAAAGCCAGGGGAGCGAACGGG
rnacentral:rRNA from 1 species